rnacentral:lncRNA from 1 species
CUGGCCCCUGUAUCAGCUGGACAUUAAAAAUGCAUUUUUACACGGUGACCUUGAAGAUGAAGUUUAUAUGGAGCAACCACCUGGGUUUGUUGCUCAGGGAGAGUCUCGUGGCCUUGUAUGUCGCCUUGUUGCCAAGGGAUAUACUCAGAUAUUUGGGCUUGAUUACAGAGAUACCUUCUCUCCCGUGGCUAAGAUAGCAUCAGUACGCCUUUUUCUAUCCAUGGCUGUUGUUUGUCACUGGCCCCUGUAUCAGCUGGACAUUAAAAAUGCAUUUUUACACGGUGACCUUGAAGAUGAAGUUUAUAUGGAGCAACCACCUGGGUUUGUUGCACAGGGGGAGUCUCGUGGCCUUGUAUGUCGCUUGCGUCGGUCACUUUAUGGUCUAAAGCAAUCUACUCGAGCCUGAUUUGGUAAGUUUAGCACUGUUAUCCAGGACUUUGGCAUGACUCGGAGUGAAGNNNNNN